rnacentral:rRNA from 1 species
UGCCAGACUCCUACGGGAGGCAGCAGUGGGGAAUAUUGCACAAUGGGGGAAACCCUGAUGCAGCAACGCCGCGUGAGUGAGGAAGUAUUUCGGUAUGUAAAGCUCUAUCAGCAGAGAAUAGAAAAGAAGGUACCUGAAAAAGAAGCCCCGGCUAACUACGUGCCAGCAGCCGCGGUAAUACGUAGGGGGCAAGCGUUAUCCGGAUUUACUGGGUGUAAAGGGAGCGUAGACGGAAAGGCAAGUCAGAAGUGAAAGCCCAAGGCUCAACCAUGGGACUGCUUUUGAAACUGUUCAACUGGAGUGCUGGAGAGGUAAGCGGAAUUCCUAGUGUAGCGGUGAAAUGCGUAGAUAUUAGGAGGAACACCAGUGGCGAAGGCGGCUUACUGGACAGUAACUGACGUUGAGGCUCGAAAGCGUGGGGAGCAAACAGGAUUAGAUACCCCUGUA